AGUGAACGCUGGCGGUAGGCCUAACACAUGCAAGUCGAACGGCAGCACAGUAAGAGCUUGCUCUUACGGGUGGCGAGUGGCGGACGGGUGAGGAAUACAUCGGAAUCUACUUUCUCGUGGGGGAUAACGUAGGGAAACUUACGCUAAUACCGCAUACGACCUACGGGUGAAAGCAGGGGAUCUUCGGACCUUGCGCGAUUGAAUGAGCCGAUGUCGGAUUAGCUAGUUGGCGGGGUAAAGGCCCACCAAGGCGACGAUCCGUAGCUGGUCUGAGAGGAUGAUCAGCCACACUGGAACUGAGACACGGUCCAGACUCCUACGGGAGGCAGCAGUGGGGAAUAUUGGACAAUGGGCGCAAGCCUGAUCCAGCCAUACCGCGUGGGUGAAGAAGGCCUUCGGGUUGUAAAGCCCUUUUGUUGGGAAAGAAAAGCAGCAGGUUAAUACCCCGCUGUUCUGACGGUACCCAAAGAAUAAGCACCGGCUAACUUCGU
rnacentral:rRNA from 1 species